rnacentral:tRNA from 1 species
GGUUCCAUGGUAUAACGGUCAUCACUCUGGACUUGGAAAUCCAGCAAUCCGAGUUCAAAAUCUCGGUGGAACCU